rnacentral:rRNA from 1 species
GACGAACGCUGGCGGCGUGCUUAACACAUGCUAGUCGAACGGAAAGGCCCUGCUUUUGUGGGGUGCUCGAGUGGCGAACGGGUGAGUAACACGUGAGUAACCUGCCCUUGACUUUGGGAUAACUUCAGGAAACUGGGGCUAAUACCGGAUAGGAGCUCCUGCUGCAUGGUGGGGGUUGGAAAGUUUCGGCGGUUGGGGAUGGACUCGCGGCUUAUCAGCUUGUUGGUGGGGUAGUGGCUUACCAAGGCUUUGACGGGUAGCCGGCCUGAGAGGGUGACCGGCCACAUUGGGACUGAGAUACGGCCGAGACUCCUACGGGAGGCAGCAGUGGGGAAUAUUGCACAAUGGGCGGAAGCCGUAUGCAGCAACGCCGCGUGCGGGAUGACGGCCUUCGGGUUGUAAACCGCUUUCGCCUGUGACGAAGCGUGAGUGACGGUAAUGGGUAAAGAAACACCGGCUAACUACGUG